AAUCAACGGCGUCAUCUAUUAAAAAACGGAGGGAGUAAAUAGCUAUUUUAGUUUGCGAUUUAUAUUUGUCGAGAUUUUGUUAGAUUAGUCUACCGUUCAAACCAUCGUUCCAAGCUUUGAACGCCAUAGAUUCGGCAUACAAGUAGUACUCACAGAAAAAAAAGAGAGAUUGGUGUUAGAAAACUCUGAAACUGCCUUGCACAAUGCAUUAAACGCUGAUAUUACCAGAAGAUUUAUUAUGGAGACAUCGAGACGCGUACUCCAAAUCCACGAUAACAAUCGCAUGGCAUACACCAGCCAACACGGCGUCUUUCACCGAGCAAAACGGUGGCCUACAAUGCCAUGACAACUACUACACCCAUGAGACGGAAGAAGGCGCGCACGAGAAGCAAAGUAGCUUAUCCCAAUCAGAACCAUGCAAUCAAAAUGCUAACGGAGGAGCCAGACAAGCUUCUUGGCGGUGGGAGAACUUGGGGCAGUACUCCUCCCGUUCGGCUUAUCGUGUCCUCUUCUUCGGAAGAACUCGCUUCCAACACGCGCCGAUUUGGAAAUCUUUCGCGCCCCCUCGGUGCCGUUACUUCCUUUGGCUGGUCGCGUUGAACCGUUGUUGGACGGCGGACCACCUCUAAAGUCGUGGAUUGCCUCACCCGGACCGCUGCCCACUCUGUGAUCAAGGUCCCGAAACAAUUGAUCAUCUCUUGGUCGCUUGCCCGGAAUCGCGGCAACUUUGGUGGAUCGCUCUUAGUGUUAUCGGCCAUGCCGAAUGCCUCCCGCUCAAUGAGCGGUCCUUCCACGGCUGGUUGUGUGACAGCCGCAAGAAGUUGACCAAGGAUCAUCGCCGGGGUUUCGACACCAUCGCCACGCUGGCAGCUUGGACAAUUUGGAAGGAAAGAAACAAUCGGGUCUUUAACCAAGAAAGCAGAACCUAACCGGAGAUCACUAGGGCGAUGUCAGGGGAAGCGGACCUUUGGCGGAUGGCUAGGGUAGCCAUUCCGGUCAUGGUAGUUCCUUCAUUUGUUCACGGGUCGCCAAAUUCCUUAGGAGAUUAGGAUUUAUGUUUUUUCCCCCUUCUGUACCCUGUACCCUGUCCCCUUCUCUUUUAAAUUGUUUGGCCCUCCUGUAAUUACAUUUACUCCUCCUUAAUACAAAAAUGGGCGUCUUGCGUAUUCCCGAAAAAA